GGAGAUAAGGGCUAUCCAACUGUUAUAUUUGUCACCCCAUUGAUCAUCAGGAUUAACGCGGCUGAUUUGCUGAGCUAAGCAGGUGUCCACUUCCUCUCUCACUGCUCGUGUGUACCUUUUGCAAGCUGUACUCGAUUGAAGAGGACAGUCUUUCCUAAUAGAAGAGGCCCACUCUUUGGUCAAGGGUAUAUGAGGAUCUGGAUUCCCCGGGAAGAACCUCUAAACAAGCUCCUAAGGUAAGUGCUCUGCCACUGAGUUAGAUCUGCAGUGCCCUAAAUAGUGUGCAACCAGUGUUUUUAU
rnacentral:snRNA from 1 species